rnacentral:rRNA from 1 species
CGGACGGGUUAGUAACGCGUGGGAACGUACCCUUCUCUAAGGAAUAGCCACUGGAAACGGUGAGUAAUACCUUAUACGCCCUUCGGGGGAAAGAUUUAUCGGAGAAGGAUCGGCCCGCGUUAGAUUAGAUAGUUGGUGGGGUAACGGCCUACCAAGUCUACGAUCUAUAGCUGGUUUGAGAGGAUGAUCAGCAACACUGGGACUGAGACACGGCCCAGACUCCUACGGGAGGCAGCAGUGGGGAAUCUUAGACAAUGGGCGAAAGCCUGAUCUAGCCAUGCCGCGUGAGUGACGAAGGCCCUAGGGUCGUAAAGCUCUUUCGCUGGGGAAGAUAAUGACUGUACCCAGUAAAGAAACCCCGGCUAACUCCGUGCCAGCAGCCGCGGUAAUACGGAGGGGGUUAGCGUUGUUCGGAAUUACUGGGCGUAAAGCGCGCGUAGGCGGACUAUUAAGUCAGAGGUGAAAUCCCGGGGCUCAACCCCGGAACUGCCUUUGAUACUGGUAGUCUUGAGUUCGAGAGAGGUGAGUGGAAUUGCGAGUGUAGAGGUGAAAUUCGUAGAUAUUCGCAGGAACACCAGUGGCGAAGGCGGCUCACUGGC